GGGAUGAUCAUCAUAUGUAGCACUCUUCUAUGAUAAGGGAUCAGCGAAUUGGUAAAUAAAAAUUACAAGGAAAAUAAUGGGGUGUUCAUAAGCUGAUUGGAGUUAGAUGUGCUCACGAAUAUGAUAUCAUGUGCAGAUAGACUCUAUGAAAAAUAGUCUUGGAAAAGCCUAGAAGGAUGAUGUCUACUAACAUCCAGUGAUGGGAUCUGCGAUCUAUGUUGCCUUUGGUCAUCUUGCUCCCAA
rnacentral:lncRNA from 1 species